rnacentral:lncRNA from 1 species
GUUCCAGAUUCCAUGGCCUCCUCUUAAGAGUGUUUCAAAGUUCCAAGGAGCUUCAAGAGCCCAUGCAAUGCUUACACCCUAAAGAGUGAAUGUGGUAACAAAGUAGUGCAAUGUGCGAAAUUACCAGCCGUUAGGUAUCCAAGUUAAGAGGGAGCUCUAGGGUCCCUAAGCAUGGCUUACCAGAGGGGGACAGAACAUAAGAGCUUGGACAGGUGUAAAGUGAGAGGAACUUUAGCAAAAGGUGGUCAUACCUAGCCAUGGCAUAGACUAGCACACCCCUAACCUCUUACUCAGAUUCAAACAAAUAAGAGAAGACUCUUAUAGAGUCAAACUUUGCUCUGAAUAGUGAUCAGGACACCAACAGACCCAAUUAGAGCUUAGCACAUUGAGGGGAAGGGGAAUGGGAAAGCAAUCGAGUAGAAACUCAAAAGAGUCUAGUUCUGGAUCACAGACAGCAACUCAUAGUGUUGCUAUGACCCAGGACAAUACUCACAUACAAAGGGAAUAGAGGGAAAUGGAUUAACAUGCUUGAAGGUAAGUAAAUAGUGCAGGAAAGCAUAAGUAAACAAACAAAGAAAAGGGGCAGAAGCAGAGAAGUUGAACACGGAUGUUGUUAAACAUAGAAGAACUUACC